UACGGGGGGGGCAAGCGUUGUUCGGAAUUACUGGGCGUAAAGGGCUCGUAGGCGGCCAACUAAGUCAUACGUGAAAUCCCUCGGCUUAACCGGGGAACUGCAUCUGAUACUGGAUGGCUUGAGAUUGGGAGAGGGAUGCGGAAUUCCAGGUGUAGCGGUGAAAUGCGUAGAUAUCGUGAGGAACACCAGAGGCGAAGGCGGCUACCUGGACAAUUGCUGACGCUCAGGCACGAAAGCGUGGGGAGCAAAAGGG
rnacentral:rRNA from 1 species